GCAGCAGUCCAGGGGAGCGGUUUCAAGUCAAGAAUCCCCCCGCAGCCUACAUCCAGAAGCUGAAGAGCUAUGUGGAUACUGGUGGGGUCAGCCGAAAGGUAGCAGCUGAUUGGAUGUCCAACCUGGGGUUUAAGAGGCGAGUUCAGGAGUCCACACAGGUGCUACGGGAGCUGGAGACCUCCCUGAGGACCAACCACAUUGGGUGGGUGCAGGAGUUCCUCAAUGAAGAGAACCGUGGCCUGGAUGUGCUGCUCGAGUACCUGGCCUUUGCCCAGUGCUCUGUCACGUAUGACAUGGAGAGCACAGACAAUGGGGCUUCCAACUCAGAGAAAAACAAGCCCCUGGAGCAGUCUGUGGAAGACCUCAGCAAGGGUCCACCCUCCUCUGUGCCCAAAAGCCGCCACCUGACCAUCAAGUGUCCCCCUUCUCCCCGGCUGACCCCAGCCCACAGCAGGAAGGCCCUGCGGAAUUCCCGCAUCGUCAGCCAGAAGGACGACGUCCACGUCUGUAUUAUGUGCCUACGCGCCAUCAUGAACUACCAGUCUGGCUUCAGCCUUGUCAUGAACCACCCAGCCUGUGUCAAUGAGAUUGCUCUGAGCCUCAACAACAAGAACCCCAGAACCAAGGCUCUGGUGCUGGAGCUGCUGGCGGCCGUGUGCUUGGUGCGGGGAGGACAUGACAUCAUCCUUGCAGCCUUUGACAACUUCAAGGAGGUGUGUGGGGAGCAGCACCGCUUUGAAAAGCUGAUGGAAUAUUUCCGGAAUGAGGACAGCAACAUCGACUUCAUGGUGGCCUGCAUGCAGUUCAUCAACAUUGUGGUACAUUCGGUGGAGAACAUGAACUUCCGUGUCUUCCUGCAAUAUGAGUUCACCCACUUGGGCCUGGACC
rnacentral:sRNA from 1 species